GCUGACGAGUGGCGGACGGGUGAGUAAUGUCUGGGAAACUGCCUGAUGGAGGGGGAUAACUACUGGAAACGGUGGCUAAUACCGCAUAACGUCGCAAGACCAAAGAGGGGGACCUUCGGGCCUCUUGCCAUCAGAUGUGCCCAGAUGGGAUUAGCUAGUUGGUGAGGUAACGGCUCACCAAGGCGACGAUCCCUAGCUGGUCUGAGAGGAUGACCAGCCACACUGGAACUGAGACACGGUCCAGACUCCUACGGGAGGCAGCAGUGGGGAAUAUUGCACAAUGGGCGCAAGCCUGAUGCAGCCAUGCCGCGUGUAUGAAGAAGGCCUUCGGGUUGUAAAGUACUUUCAGCGGGGAGGAAGGUGUUGUGGUUAAUAACCGCAGCAAUUGACGUUACCCGCAGAAGAAGCACCGGCUAACUCCGUGCCAGCAGCCGCGGUAAUACGGAGGGUGCAAGCGUUAAUCGGAAUUACUGGGCGUAAAGCGCACGCAGGCGGUCUGUCAAGUCGGAUGUGAAAUCCCCGGGCUCAACCUGGGAACUGCAUUCGAAACUGGCAGGCUUGAGUCUUGUAGAGGGGGGUAGAAUUCCAGGUGUAGCGGUGAAAUGCGUAGAGAUCUGGAGGAAUACCGGUGGCGAAGGCGGCCCCCUGGACAAAGACUGACGCUCAGGUGCGAAAGCGUGGGGAGCAAACAGGAUUAGAUACCCUGGUAGUCCACGCCGUAAACGAUGUCUACUUGGAGGUUGUGCCCUUGAGGCGUGGCUUCCGGAGCUAACGCGUUAAGUAGACCGCCUGGGGAGUACGGCCGCAAGGUUAAAACUCAAAUGAAUUGACGGGGGCCCGCACAAGCGGUGGAGCAUGUGGUUUAAUUCGAUGCAACGCGAAGAACCUUACCUGGUCUUGACAUCCACAGAACUUUCCAGAGAUGGAUUGGUGCCUUCGGGAACUGUGAGACAGGUGCUGCAUGGCUGUCGUCAGCUCGUGUUGUGAAAUGUUGGGUUAAGUCCCGCAACGAGCGCAACCCUUAUCCUUUGUUGCCAGCGGUCCGGCCGGGAACUCAAAGGAGACUGCCAGUGAUAAACUGGAGGAAGGUGGGGAUGACGUCAAGUCAUCAUGGCCCUUACGACCAGGGCUACACACGUGCUACAAUGGCGCAUACAAAGAGAAGCGACCUCGCGAGAGCAAGCGGACCUCAUAAAGUGCGUCGUAGUCCGGAUUGGAGUCUGCAACUCGACUCCAUGAAGUCGGAAUCGCUAGUAAUCGUGGAUCAGAAUGCCACGGUGAAUACGUUCCCGGGCCUUGUACACACCGCCCGUCACACCAUGGGAGUGGGUUGCAAAAGAAGUAGGUAGCUUAACCUUCGGGAGGGCGCUUACCACUUUGUGAUUCAUGACUGGGGUGAAGUCGUAACAAGGUAACCGUAGGGGAACCUGCGGUUGGAUCACCUCCUUACCUUAAAGAA
rnacentral:rRNA from 1 species